rnacentral:lncRNA from 1 species
CAGCGCCUUCGCGGAGGGAUCUGGGAGUGAAGCGCCGGGCCGGGCGCGGGUCGCACAGGUGCUUCGGCCGGACGCGAAACGGCUUUCAGUGGUUAGAAAGAGUAAGGGAGAAAGAGAAAAGGGAGGGUGCGAGAACGGGAGCGGAAGAAGAGAGAGGGAGGAGUGUCAUCAAGACGGUCCGAGCGCGGCGAGGGGGUAGGACGGCCGCUCAGCUCCGCGACAGGGGUUUUCCCUUGGUAACGGACCAAACGACCGAGUCAAGCAGCCGUGGGCUGUAUGGUGGUGAGGGGUAGGGAAUAACGAUAAAAAAUAGAAAAGGCGCCGCUAGACUGCAGCAUUUUCAAGCUUGGGUUGGAGCGCAGCCCAGGUCCCGCGAACUGGGAACCGGGAAGGCGGUAGUGGACGCUGCCGCGUCUCGAGACGGAAAGCGGCCGUGAGCCUCCCUGGGCCCCGCUCACCCCCGGGCCGGCCGUCGGGAAGGGCUUGCACCCCACCUCUUGCACCUCCUGUCAGGCCUCGCAUACGUGAUUUAGGCAACAGCGUUCAAGUAAUAAGCAAAUAACCAUAUAUAUUUUUAAGUGAAUAUUAUUAUGACCUCACUUUUUUCCGGAGUUGAGCUGCUUUGAAUUGUCUUGAAACGGUUUAGUAGUUUUCUGAAUUCUCAAGUGUCUUUUCAUCAGAUAGCGGACGCAGUAAUUCGGUGUUUCCGCAGCCCUAGCCGUCGAUAAGAGGACUUUUUCGAGAGGCUGCAGCCAAGGAACGAGACUGAGAAAGUCGCUCUUAAACGUUUUCUGCCUACCGACUACUCUCUGAGAUUAAGUUCUCUUUAAAGUAUUUCUGAACAUUUUGAGAAUAGUCAGCUCCUAACCUUUGUCUCCGUUUAGAUGGAUGAUGUAGCUGCCCCACUUCCUACUUGCACUCUUGUUUACUGGAAAAAUGCAUGGGAGAUCUGUGGAGGCGGUAAAGCGAGGAGUUCUGACUCUGGGAGGAAUUUUGCUAAAGUUAGGUCAAAAAGAGCAGUUAACAAAUGCAUCAUCACAUUCCGAUGUGUAGACUUUUUAAACCUGAAUCAUCUGUAAAGCUGAGGGCAUCGUUUGAAAACACUGACAAUUUCCUGUUAAUUUUCCCUAAGUGAAAUCAUCAAAUGCAUUUGUUUUCAUUCUGAAAAAAAUGUGCUUUGCUACAAAAUACUUACGGAAUCAAGCACACAUCUCUUUUUUCGGUUCUGAAACACUUAAAAUAUUUCAGUGUCUGUACUUUUUCAAAAAUCAUUUUUUCAGGAUCCUAUUGAUAUCACAAGCUGUUCAGUUUAUGUGAGUGUUCAGUUUAAACUGAUUGAGGCAAAACCAACAACUUUUUAUUUGUUGCUCAUUAAAUGUAAUAAGACAUGGGCACCUUGGGAAUGGCACCUAAAUCAAUCCAUAAUUUAUAGAAACCUACAGUCUCCUUGGGAAGACAGAUUACAUGACAAGAUGAACAAGAGAAAUGUGUAAAAAUAAUUGUCAAGGCAACAGAAUAAAUUAUAUAUAUGUAUUUUUUGUCA